rnacentral:rRNA from 1 species
CCAGCUCCAAUAGCGUAUAUUAAAGUUGUUGCGGUUAAAAAGCUCGUAGUUGGAUUUCUGCUGAGGAUGACCGGUCCGCCCUCUGGGUGAGCAUCUGGCUCAGCUUUGGCAUCUUCUUGAAAAAUGUGUCUGCACUUGACUGUGUGGUGCGGUAUUCAAGACAUUUACUUUGAGGAAAUUAGAGUGUUUAAAGCAGGCGAUCGCUUGAAUACAUCAGCAUGGAAUAACAAGACAAGACAUUAGUCUUCUUGUUGGUUUGGAGAUAAAUGUAAUGAUUAAUAGGGCCAGUUGGGGGCAUUAGUAUUUAGUAGUCAGAGGUGAAAUUCUUGGAUUUACUAAAGACUAACUAGUGCGAAAGCAUUUGCCAAGGAUGUUUUCAUUAAUCAAGAACGAAAGUUAGGGGAUCGAAGACGAUCAGAUACCGUCGUAGUCUUAACUAUAAACGAUGCCGACUAAGGAUCGGCAGAAGUCGUUAGCGACUCUGUCGGCACUUUGUGAGAAAUCAAAGUUUUUGGGUUCUGGGGGGAGUAUGGUCGCAAGGCUGAAACUUAAAGGAAUUGACGGAAGGGCACCACCAGGAAUGGAGCCUGCGGCUUAAUUCGACUCAAC